AUAUCACCAAACUGAAUUUUAUCCAUAUUUUAAAAGAUUACCUCGUGAACAGAUCCAGACUGAUGGCCAAAGCCCAAAGGCAUUGGUAAAACCCAAAUUUCAUAAGGAUGUGAAAGUUUCCCGUUCUUUAUAAGGGUGCCAGGAAUAGGAAACUGAAUUACAUCCUAAUGCGAAACGCCCUCUUUUUACCUAUGAUUACAGUUAACUACUUCCAAAUGGGUUAUAUUCUCAAUUCGUGCGAAAGAUGCAGCAUUUUAUUCAUGAUCGAUACAGAAUGAAACCAUAAAGCACAACAGCGACUGAGAAAUGACAAGGUACGAGAGAAUAGAUGGACAUCCUUCAAGCUAGACAGAGAUUCGCUGCCUGAAGAUACUGCUGAAUAUAAU